UACGGAGGGUGCAAGCGUUAUCCGGAUUCACUGGGUUUAAAGGGUGCGUAGGUGGGCAGGUAAGUCCGUGGUGAAAUCUCUGAGCUUAACUCAGAAACUGCCGUGGAUACUAUUUGUCUUGAAUAUUGUGGAGGUGAGCGGAAUAUGUCAUGUAGCGGUGAAAUGCUUAGAUAUGACAUAGAACACCAAUUGCGAAGGCAGCUCACUACACAAAGAUUGACACUGAGGCACGAAAGCGUGGGGAUCAAACAGG
rnacentral:rRNA from 1 species